rnacentral:snRNA from 1 species
GUGCUUGCUUCAGCAGCACGUAUACUAAAGUUGGAAUGAUACAGAGAAGAUUAGCAUGGCCCCUGCACAAGGAUGACAUGCAAAUUCGUGAAGUGUUCCAUAUUUUU